UUCAAUAUUGAAUCAUUAAAUUGGUUUAGUGGUUCCUCUCCUAUCAAGGCUAGACAACUGCAGUGCAAGAUUGUCUCAACAAACUUGGUUGGUUCAUUAAUCCGUAUGAAGUAAUUCAUCUCAUGGAGUUCGAGACAAGGGAGGGCAAAGGGAAGAAAUCAUAGACAUGCAUGCUACUAGCAAGAGG